rnacentral:rRNA from 1 species
AGAGGGUGGCCAAACUGUGGUCUUUGUCAGCUAUGCAAAAGGGAGCCAGAAACAGCCACUCAUCUUAUGUUCAACUGCCGCCACCCGAUUAGAGCUUGGAAUCUGGUUUUCGAGUGGUUGGGGAUUUAUUCACCGACUCCGAAUUGGAGUAACAUUAAGUCAAUCAAACAAUGGUGGUGUUCAAAUGAUGGCAUGAUUUGAAGCUAUAGGAAGGCCAACAACUUGCUACACAUGCUCAUCUGGGAGAUUUGGAAUGAGAGGAACACUAGGGUGUUAUGUUCCAAAGCUUCCCUUCCUUCUAGAGUGGUCGUGACGAUCAAAGAUGAGGCCAAGACGUGGGUCAUCGUCGGGGCUAGAUUAUCGGGCAAUCUAAUUUCGGGAGAGUAG